GGCGUCUUCCGCAUCCAACUGUGGCAUCGUCUUCAUCCCCGGGUGUUCCGCCAGCGACCACUCCUCUGCUGCAAUCAACGAGCCAUUCCAGCCACGAGACCCACGAAAUCCUCCACGCGUGCAGCCAGCAACCGAGUAGAAGACCAAUCUCCUCCAUGUUCCACACAGUGCACCAGCGCCAUCAGCCCGUUCCAGCCGCAUCAACCGCGUGCCCACCGCAUC
rnacentral:lncRNA from 1 species